UCGAUCAAGAGAGAGGGGCGACCAAGGGGAUUCACUUCAAACCCUAGUUUGUCACAAAAAGCUCAAAUUGGAAGCCUAAAUCAAGUUUAAAUCGAAUUCUAAACACAAAUUAGUGAUCACCUCAUCAUAGGGAUCAAAAGGCAAAGAGUCCGGAUCAUCAAGCGGACAAGCCGGAGGGAAUUCACGGGAGAAAGGCGUGCUCUAAAGUUUUUCAGGUUUUCUCGUAGAAGGGUGAUGAUCAAGCAUUUGUAUUUGAACCGAACACUCAAGCGAACGCUUCCGCACUUGAUCUUUUGUUUUAAAAUUAUGUAACAGUUGUAGAUUCUACCUUGAAUAGGGUUGCGCAGGGAUAUUAUCGUGAAUGUUAUGUGCAGUUAUGUUUUCAAAUCCUGAAAGUUUUUGUAAACUCCAAAAUUGCUA